UGCUACCUGUUGGGACUGGAGAGCA
rnacentral:piRNA from 1 species